rnacentral:rRNA from 1 species
GAGUUUGAUCCUGGCUCAGAAUGAACGUUGGCGGCGUGGAUUAGGCAUGCAAGUCGGUCGCUCCGCAAGGGGCGAGGCGCAAGGGUGAGUAAGACGACGGCAACCAACCCCAGGGAUGGGCAUAGCCCGCCGAAAGGCGGGGUAAUUCUCAGCGAAGUCGCGGCGGAGACCUCUCCGCUCGACCAAAGGGUGUGAUUCCGCCCUGGGACGGGCCGUCGUGGCAUCAGGUUGUUGGCGGGGUAACGGCCCACCAAGCCGAAGACGCCUACCGGGUGUGAGAGCAUGGCCCGGCACACUGGGACUGAGACACUGCCCAGACGCCUACGGGUGGCUGCAGUCGAGAAUCUUCGGCAAUGGGCGAAAGCCUGACCGAGCGACGCCGCGUGGGGGACGAAGGCCUUCGGGUUGUAAACCCCUGUCGAGGUGAAGCAAAGGCCCGUGAAGAGCGGGACUUGAGCGACGCCUGGAGGAAGCACGGGCUAAGUUCGUGCCAGCAGCCGCGGUAAGACGAACCGUGCGAACGUUAUUCGGAUUCACUGGGCUUAAAGCGCGUGUAGGCGGGCCGAUACGUCCGUGGCUGAAAGCCCCCGGCUCAACCGGGGAAGUGGCCCAGAUACGGUCGGCCUGGAGGGGCAUAGGGGGAGCUGGAACUUCCGGUGGAGCGGUGAAAUGCGUUGAGAUCGGAAGGAACGCCCGUGGCGAAAGCGAGCUCCUGGAUGCCUUCUGACGCUGAGACGCGAAAGGCAGGGGAGCGAACGGGAUUAGAUACCCCGGUAGUCCUGGCCGUAAACGAUGAGCACUGGGUAGGAGGCUCGCCGAUGGGCGUCCUGCCGCAGCGAAAGCGUGAAGUGCUCCGCCUGGGGAGUAUGGCCGCAAGGCUGAAACUCAAAGGAAUUGACGGGGGCUCACACAAGCGGUGGAGCAUGUGGCUUAAUUCGAGGCUACGCGAAGAACCUUAUCCCAGGCUUGACAUGCGCGGAUUAGCCGGCGGAAACGUCGGUGAGGCCUUCGGGUACAACGCGUGCAGGUGCUGCAUGGCUGUCGUCAGCUCGUGCCGUGAGGUGUUGGGUUAAGUCCCGUAACGAGCGAAACCCCUGCGGCCAGUUGCCAACACGUAAUGGUGGGGACUCUGGCCGGACCGCCGGCGUUAAGCCGGAGGAAGGCGGGGACGACGUCAAGUCAUCAUGGCCCUUAUGCCUGGGGCUGCACACGUGCUACAAUGGGGCGGACAAAGCGUCGCAAUGCCGCGAGGCCGAGCUAAUCGCAGAAACCGCCCCCCAGUUCGGAUUGUGGGCUGCAACCCGCCCACAUGAAGCCGGAAUCGCUAGUAAUCGCGGAUCAGCAGUGCCGCGGUGAAUGGGUUCCUGAGCCUUGUACACACCGCCCGUCAAGCCACCAAAGGGGGGGGCACCCGAAGUCGCCGAAGCCGCGAGGCAGGCGCCGAAGGUGAGACUCCUGAUGGGGACUAAGUCGUAACAAGGUAACC